UGCCAGCCGCCGCGGUAAUACGUAGGUGGCAAGCGUUAUUCGGAUUUAUUGGGCGUAAAGGGUCCGUAGGGGGUGUGUUAAGUCUGAUGUGAAAGCUCGAGGCUCAACUUCGGAACUGCAUUGGAAACUGGCACACUAGAGCAUAGGAGAGGAGAGUGGAAUUCCUGGUGUAGCGGUGGAAUGCGUAGAUAUCAGGAGGAACACCGAUGGCGAAGGCAGCUCUCUGGACUAUUGCUGACCCUGAGGGACGAAAGCUAGGGGAGCAAACAGGAUUAGAUA
rnacentral:rRNA from 1 species